rnacentral:rRNA from 1 species
GACGAACGCUGGCGGCGUGCUUAACACAUGCAAGUCGAACGGAAAGGCCCUGCUUUUGUGGGGUGCUCGAGUGGCGAACGGGUGAGUAACACGUGAGUAACCUGCCCUUGACUUUGGGAUAACUUCAGGAAACUGGGGCUAAUACCGGAUAGGAGCUCCUGCUGCAUGGUGGGGGUUGGAAAGUUUCGGCGGUUGGGGAUGGACUCGCGGCUUAUCAGCUUGUUGGUGGGGUAGUGGCUUACCAAGGCUUUGACGGGUAGCCGGCCUGAGAGGGUGACCGGCCACAUUGGGACUGAGAUACGGCCCAGACUCCUACGGGGGGCAGCAGUGGGGAAUAUUGCACAAUGGGCGGAAGCCUGAUGCAGCGACGCCGCGUGCGGGAUGACGGCCUUCGGGUUGUAAACCGCUUUCGCCUGUGACGAAGCGUGAGUGACGGUAAUGGGUAAAGAAGCACCGGCUAACUACGUG